rnacentral:tRNA from 1 species
GGCGCGGUAGCCAAGUGGUAAGGCAGAAGUCUGCAAAACUUCCAUACGUCGGUUCAAUUCCGUCCCGCGCCUCCA